GACGAACGCUGGCGGCGUGCUUAACACAUGCCAGUCGAACGGAAAGGCCCUGCUUUUGUGGGGUGCUCGAGUGGCGAACGGGUGAGUAACACGUGAGUAACCUGCCCUUGACUUUGGGAUAACUUCAGGAAACCGGGGCUAAUACCGGAUAGGAGCUCCUGCUGCAUGGUGGGGGUUGGAAAGUUUCGGCGGUUGGGGAUGGACUCGCGGCUUAUCAGCUUGUUGGUGGGGUAGUGGCUUACCAAGGCUUUGACGGGUAGCCGGCCUGAGAGGGUGACCGGCCACAUUGGGACUGAGAUACGGCCCAGACUCCUACGGGAGGCAGCAGUGGGGAAUAUUGCACAAUGGGCGGAGGCCUGAUGCAGCAACGCCGCGUGCGGGAUGACGGCCUUCGGGUUGUAAACCGCUUUCGCCUGUGACGAAGCGUGAGUGACGGUAAUGGGUAAAGAAGCACCGGCUAACUACGUG
rnacentral:rRNA from 1 species